GGACUACUGGGGUAUCUAAUCCCGUUCGCUCCCCUCGCUUUCGCACCUGAGCGUCAGAAACGAGCCAGGACACUGCCUUCGCCUUUGGUGUUCUUCCGGAUCUCUACGCAUUUCACUGCUCCACCCGGAGUUCCGUGUCCCUCUCUCGCUCUCAAGUCCACCAGUUUUCAAGGCACUUCAUCAGUUAAGCUGAUGACUGUCACCCUGAACUUAAUGGACCGCCUGCGUGCCCUUUACGCCCAAUAAAUCCGGACAACGCUCGCCCCCUACGUAUUACCGCGGCUGCUGGCAC
rnacentral:rRNA from 1 species